rnacentral:rRNA from 1 species
AUUGAACGCUGGCGGCAGGCCUAACACAUGCAAGUCGAGCGAGCGGAGGACGGGUGAGACAUGUAUGGGGACUGCCCGAUAGAGGGGGAGAACUACAGGACACGGUAGAUACUACCGCAUACCACAGGAACAUCCAUAUGGGAUUAGCUAGUAGGUGAGGUAAUGGCACACCUAAGCGACGAUCCCUAGCUGGUCUGAGAGGAUGAUCAGCCACACUGGGACUGGGACACGGCCCAGACUCCUACGGAGGCAGCAGUGGGGAAUAUUGCACAAGGGGCGCAAGCCUGAUGCAGCCAUGCCGAGUGUAUGAAGAAGGCCCUAGGGUUGUAAAGUACUUUCAGUCGGGAGGCGUUACCGACAGAAGAAGCACCGGCUAACUCCGUGCCAGCAGCCGCGGUAAUUC